CCUGGCGGCACUAGCGCGGUGGUCCCACCUGACCCCAUGCCGAACUCAGAAGUGAAACGCCGUAGCGCCGAUGGUUCUUU
rnacentral:rRNA from 1 species